ensembl:lncRNA
GUUUUUUUUUAGGUCUGGGGUAGCCUAUGUUUGUAAUUAUGUUUUGUUUUUGUUUUGUAACAUUGUUUCACUGUUGUUUUUUAAUGUAACCUUCUUCCCUAUGGACCUUAUACACCGCGCCUCCAUCUUGAAAUCCAAAACGAGGCUGGGGGGUACACUCUAACCGGAAGUUCAUUGACAGAGCGCAGCAGCGGGCGUCUAUCAUCAUGGCGAUACCUUUGUGGAUAUCAAAUCUUUCAUGUCUUCCCAACAUAACAGUGGACUAUGUCGAAAAAUGGGCCGAUAAGGACUGCAUGAUUCCCCGGGCUGUUUUGCUUAAAGGAUACAGCAACUGGAUCGAGGGAUAUGUGCACGACGUGGAAGGGAUGAGUGGAAUUCAACACAGCCUUGUUUGAAAAACACAUUUUUGGACCUUCAAAACUUGACCAAGUAACCAACAUUGGUGUCAGCUGGACUGCACGGUUGUGAUUUUACACAACGUUGUGAACCGAUGCUUCUGAAUAAAAUUCACAGAUAUGUUCAGUGGUGUUCUAAAAUGUAAUUAACAUUAUAAAUAUCUGCAUAUAGCUGAAUCUUUGUACUCUAUCAAUCAACUAACAGCAUAGAGCGGGGUGAUGUUGGAGACUACUACAACACUGUAAUGCAG